GACGAACGCUGGCGGCGUGCCUAAUACAUGCAAGUCGAACGCUUCUUUCCUCCCGAGUGCUUGCACUCAAUUGGAAAGAGGAGUGGCGGACGGGUGAGUAACACGUGGGUAACCUACCCAUCAGAGGGGGAUAACACUUGGAAACAGGUGCUAAUACCGCAUAACAGUUUAUGCCGCAUGGCAUAAGAGUGAAAGGCGCUUUCGGGUGUCGCUGAUGGAUGGACCCGCGGUGCAUUAGCUAGUUGGUGAGGUAACGGCUCACCAAGGCCACGAUGCAUAGCCGACCUGAGAGGGUGAUCGGCCACACUGGGACUGAGACACGGCCCAGACUCCUACGGGAGGCAGCAGUAGGGAAUCUUCGGCAAUGGACGAAAGUCUGACCGAGCAACGCCGCGUGAGUGAAGAAGGUUUUCGGAUCGUAAAACUCUGUUGUUUGAGAAGAACAAGGACGUUAGUAACUGAACGUCCCCUGACGGUAUCUAACCAGAAAGCCACGGCUAACUACGUG
rnacentral:rRNA from 1 species